GAACGCUGGCGGCGUGCCUAAUACAUGCAAGUCGAGCGAACAGACGAGGAGCUUGCUCCUCUGACGUUAGCGGCGGACGGGUGAGUAACACGUGGAUAACCUACCUAUAAGACUGGGAUAACUUCGGGAAACCGGAGCUAAUACCGGAUAAUAUAUUGAACCGCAUGGUUCAAUAGUGAAAGACGGUUUUGCUGUCACUUAUAGAUGGAUCCGCGCCGCAUUAGCUAGUUGGUAAGGUAACGGCUUACCAAGGCAACGAUGCGUAGCCGACCUGAGAGGGUGAUCGGCCACACUGGAACUGAGACACGGUCCAGACUCCUACGGGAGGCAGCAGUAGGGAAUCUUCCGCAAUGGGCGAAAGCUUGACGGAGCAACGCCGCGUGAGUGAUGAAGGUCUUCAGAUCGUAAAACUCUGUUAUUAGGGAAGAACAAAUGUGUAAGUAACUAUGCACGUCUUGACGGUACCUAAUCAGAAAGCCACGGCUAACUACGUG
rnacentral:rRNA from 1 species